UUGGUUUUCAAUCCCAACCCUAAUUUCUCUCAAUCUUGUUUUCUCUUUUCACUGUAAAUUCAUCUUCUGGAUGAACUCUCUUUAGAUUCUGAGUGUAAUCAUAUUGGGUGCUAGAGAGGGUGAAAAGAUCUAUCUCUUGGUAGGAUUUUCUUGUGUAUUUGAGGGUUGAUUUUGUGCGAGAGACGGAAUACUUGGUAUUCUUUUGUAACUCUAUUUUCUCCCUAUUUUGGGCUGUUCUAGUGAAUUCAAGCAAAAUCCUAACGAAUGCUUAAAGGGGGAUUGGGCGUUGGAAGUGAUCGUUGAACCUUCGGGGCCUUGGGUCGAAAAUUCUCGUGUUCUUUAUCUCUUGUAAUUUACUGCGUAUUUUCACUCAAUAAUUAGAGUCGCAAAAGAUUUAAGUUCUGGGAUCAACAGACAAGAAUGAAAAGAAUUGAAAGAUCGAGAAGGAAAAAAAAAACACAAAAUACAACAGACAAAUUAUCCCAAAGGCAAAAAAUAAAAAAUCAUUGGAAACC
rnacentral:lncRNA from 1 species